rnacentral:misc_RNA from 1 species
AAAUGCGAUAAGUAAUGCGAAUUGCAGAAUUUCCGUGAGUCAUCGAAUCUUUGAACGCACAUUGCGCCCAUUGGUAUUCCGAUGGGCAUGCCUGUUCGAGCGUCAUUUCAACCCUCAGAACCCCUUGCGGGAUCUGGCGUUGGGGAUUGGCAUCCAGCCAGCCCCGAAAUCUAGUGGCGGUCCCUCCGCGACCUCCCCUGUGCAGUAGCGAUACCUCGCAGCGGGACAGCGGUCUGACCACGCCGUAAAACCCCCAACUUCUCAAGGUUGACCUCGAAUCAGGUAGGAAUACCCGCUGAACUUAAGC